AGUGAACGCUGGCGGUAGGCCUAACACAUGCAAGUCGAACGGCAGCACAGUAAGAGCUUGCUCUUACGGGUGGCGAGUGGCGGACGGGUGAGGAAUACAUCGGAAUCUACUUUUUCGUGGGGGAUAACGUAGGGAAACUUACGCUAAUACCGCAUACGACCUACGGGUGAAAGCAGGGGAUCUUCGGACCUUGCGCGAUUGAAUGAGCCGAUGUCGGAUUAGCUAGUUGGCGGGGUAAAGGCCCACCAAGGCGACGAUCCGUAGCUGGACUGAGAGGAUGAUCGGCCACACUGGAACUGAGACACGGUCCAGACUCCUACGGGAGGCAGCAGUGGGGAAUAUUAGACAAUGGGCGCAAGCCUGAUCCAGCCAUACCGCGUGGGUGAAGAAGGCCUUCGGGUUGUAAAGCCCUUUUGUUGGGAAAGAAAAGCAGCAGGUUAAUACCCCGCUGUUCUGACGGUACCCAAAGAAUAAGCACCGGCUAACUUCGUG
rnacentral:rRNA from 1 species